AGCAAGUGUCCUGAAAGGAAGAGGAAAUUGACUAAUAAGGAAGGACGGCGAAAGGAAGGUCGGCCCCCAGACUGUUGUCCCCUCCACGUUAAGGAAGUGGGACUUGCAGGCAGUGAGGUAACACCCGUCACUGUCUUCGUACCGACCGCUGCCGCCGGUGCUCGGUUUCCUUUCUGGGUGAGCAAGUGACAUCGCUUAUUGCAGCUGGGUCACACCAGACAGAAGGCAUGGGACCCCUGUCCCCUCCGUCAAGGGGCCAAACCAAGCCUGAACUGAAGAACUGGAAAGGAAACCUUGCGCCUGCCCUGACAUGGCUCUUCAGGGGAAGGUUCCUGCUCGCCUGGUUAGUCUAUGGACUGCUUUCACUCUGAGGAAUCUGGAUCAUCGGAAAAAAAUCAACAAAAGCCAAAAAAGCUAAAGAGACACAUAAAGUCUCUCAUGAAGAAUUAGUUAAAUUGGACAAGUGCAAUAUAAUUUUGUGCCUGAAACAAGUGUAUGUAUAAAACCAAUGAGAGCUUAAAAAAAUGAGUAUGUAAAUUAUAUGUCAAUAAAGUUG